AAUUUUUGUAGGGCAUUCACUGAUCUUUGUGGAAGUCGCUUACCAGCAAGUGGCCCCCUCUCACUCAACUUCCGUUUGAAAUAUCUCUAGUCCGGCAGCCUCUACUAGACACCACCGGUAACUAAUCCAGUUCCCUGAUCUUUUUUUCCAUGGACGCAUGAUUCAGAGUGUACUCCUUGCUGCAGGUGCUUUUGGACGAGGGACACACCCACGUUCAGUAUUGUCUAAAUAGGUAAGCAGUCCAAAAUACAGUACACAAUUCUGACCAGGGAACUGAACAGGUGCUGUUGGUUCAAUCUUUCUUUCCGGCACACUUACAUGGAGCGUACUCCUUGCUGUAGGUGCUUUUGGACGAGGGACACACCCACGUACAAUAGGUAAGCAGGUUAGUUGCUUCCUUACAUAAACACACAUACAUGCACUUGACGAUGAUUGAUUUAAUCUGGGUAGAUGUGCAGGAGGUAGCUCAUUGAGUUGAUCACCGGUGGCUCUCUCUCCCAAUCGCUACCUCUCUAACCCUUGGUGUUGUGUCCCUGCAACUGAAUAUCAUUUCUCCUCCAUAUGUUUGAUUGCAUCUCCAACAGAAAAUAUUGAUCAGGUGCAUGUUCAGGAGGUCGGCGUACACACAUAUUUAGGCCAAUCGAGCGUGCAUUUGACGUGUGCAUCUCGGCAGCCAGAAGAAAUCAAUCUUUUUACCUGCAUGUAAGUACGUACUAGCUAGCUUAUCUAGCCGCAAUCUAUUUUUUUUGCAUUCUAGAUAGCCUAAUCUUCAGCAUAAUUUUACCAUGAUAUAUAUUUAUACUCAGCUCAUCUAUCAUGUAAGUUACAUGGUAUAAAUUGGACUCUUUUACACAAACAAUCUCCCACGUUAACUGAACAUAUAUACAUUUUUUGGAUCCUACUUUAAAGCAAAGUAAUUGUCUUAAUGUGGAAGUUUCACCAUUUAAUUGUCUUAGUGUAGUUAUAUGGUGCAUGAAGUUGUUUUAGCUACAGUUUUAGUUGAGGUAUACCUAUUUUUAGGGACUGUCUAUUUCGCAUUUGACUGUUUUUCUAUUCGACAACAUUCAAAUUUCCCGACAAAUAAACAAAUGCCACCUAUAUGUCCAGCCCUUCCCCGUGGCAACUUUAUGUUCUGUAUUUCUAAAAAAAUGGAUCGGGUUAAACUCUGACCCGGUUUCAACUGAACCUGGAGUCCUGGAUCACAUCAACCAGCUGCCCAUCAGCUUGCAAUCCACGCAAGGGCCAAACCCAUUGAAAAUCAGAAAAUAUGCACUGGUAGUGGUAGCAUUAAAACAAUCAAAAAAUGACAGAUAUUUAGUGCUAAACUUCCAACGAAAACAAGGCUGCAAGUACCCUAAACUGCUGAACAUACACUGUAAAUUACCAAGAAUUACAGUGCAAGAGUCCAAGAAUUACAAUGUAAAUCCCCUAGAAAUUACAGUCCACAUAUAGAGGAAAUGGCACUGUAAUUACAGGUCACUAUCACUGUAAAAAACUAAGAAUUAUAGUGUAAAAAAAAACCCUAGAAAUUACACUUUACAUACAAUGAAAUUUUCCAAAAACUUACAGUGUAAGUGACCAAGAUUUACAGUGUAAAUCCCCUAGAAAAUAGUGUAAAUCCCCUAGAAAAUACAGAUUACAUAUACAGUAAUUACACUACAAGUACCCACUGAUUUACGAUAGUAAAACUGAUAAUCUUAUGCUGAAUUAAAAGUUUAAGUGACCAAGAUUUAUAAUGUCAAUUCCCUAGAAAAUACAGAUUACGUACAUACUAAUUGUAUUGCAAGUACCCACUAAUUAACACUAGUAAAACUGAUGAGUUUAUGCUGAAUUACAGUGUAUGUGACCAAGAUUUAAGAUUUGCAGUGUAAAUCCCCUAGAAAAUACAUAUACAUUGCGCUCAUAUGUCCAUUAAGAUGGACUAUUAGGGACUGUGGGAUCCAUCCCAAAGUUUGUAAUUAUGAAUGAUAUGUAACAUGAGCAUCGCAGGGCAUGUAGUCAAUUUAGCAAUAUUUAUCUACCGCCAUUGAAUAUAAAAGUUUGCAGAGAGUGCAUUUGAUGACUCUGUAUCAAAUAUAUUCUAACUUGAGUACGGAGACUACUAGAUAUAUUGGUUAGCUGGGGCUGAAGCAUUACACAAUUCUAAUACCAUGAAAUAGAAUUGGUGCUAUAUCUAAUAGAACAAAUAGUUGGUGUUCCAACAUACAUGUAGUUAUUAUACUAAAUAAAUAUGUAUAUGAGAAAAAAUGCUAAUUAGGCUGCAAAACUCAUACUGUUUUGGUAUACUUCUAAUUUGGACAUGCUCCAUACUUCUUUUUCACAUACCAUCAUUUUCUUCUUGCAGGCGGCAAUGGCGGGGCAUAUUGUGCAGAGGAAGAGGAUGAACCUUAAUGCGUUGAACCUUAUAUACUAGAACCUUGCAGGUGUUUUUGUAGAAGUAUUCUGUUGUGCAUGUGUAAAUUAUUUUGAUGUGCUCUUGUUAGGCGUUGAACCUUAAUGUGUUGAGUCGGUGGAUGAUGUAUUGUAUUUGAUGUGAUAUGCUA
rnacentral:lncRNA from 1 species